UGUUCUCCUUUUCUUUUUCUUUUUCAGUCAACACAACACACAAACACACACUCCUCUCCAUCACCCUCCCAUCGGUACAUUCCUCAUCAUAACCUCUAUCAUUUUUUUCCGGUAAAAUCACUGGAAAAUCCUCAAGAACAUCACACCUUCACAUAAGUUAUUUGAGGUUCUAGCCAAUCUCCCUUGGAGCUUGGAGAGUUAGGUUUUUUGCAAGUUGUAAGUCUUACAGAUUAAUUAGCUAUAUCAUGGGAAUGGAGCUUGCCUUGUCGAUAGUGAUUGGAAUUUUAUGCUAAAUUGGGAGACAUACAUUACUAAUGGUUAGUGAUCCGAUCUAGUUGUUUUUUAAGGGAGCUAGUAGUAGUUAAUUUAUUAGAAGUUGGACUCUUGAGGUUUGUUAGCCCAAGAAUUUUUUUGGGAUUGCAUAUUUUAGAGAACAUUAGGACUUUCUGUUUAAAUCAUUUGGAAUUUUUGUAAUAUAUUUAUGUAUCAUGUGGAGACACAAAAUUUUUAGUUAUUGUUCGUAAAUGUAUUAUAGAGUUCUGACUUGUAACGUGGAGAUUUUAGUAUGGUUGUAUAUUCUUAUCCUGUGGAAAAAGAAAGGAGCUUGAAGAGAGAUCUCUUACAGUUUGAUUUAUCAAAAAUAAAAAGGAGAAAUCUACAGGCACCUUUGAGAUGAUUUCUCAUGCUGUGGACCCUUUUGGGUUUGGGGCGUGACAGCCUUAAUACUCCCACUAAAGCAUCCUCAAUCACUAGAUUCAAAAUGGUCUCCUCGAGGAUAUUUUGAGACUAGCACAGUGAAGGCAUAAAAUACAGUAAGUUAGCAUAGGUAUGAAAGGUAUUUGCAAACUAGCAUCUCGAGUUUUAAAAACUCGCUUCCUACUUGCUGAGGUGCACACAUUUAUUCCACAUAGAUCUCAAGUCUUUUACACUCGAUUUCAAAAUACAUAGAAUAAAGAACUACAAACCAGAAAAAGAAGAAAACCCAGAAGAAAGAAAGAAGAAAGAAGGAAACCCAGCAGAAAGAAAGAAAGAAGAAGAAGAUCCACAGCAAAGAAGAAGACCCACGGCACACACAAACCCAGUCUCCAUCAAGCACAUCCCGAUCGUCGAUCUACGGUACAGUUCACGAUCUUCAUCACCGAGCAAACAAUCUGAAUAAAUUACACACAACUCAUAAAGAUGUGAAUGAUUUGAAAGAAAAAGCUAUGAAAGAGAGAUGAAAUUGAAUGAGAUUUGAGAGGUUACAGAUAGUUUUGUUUAGGUGGUCUUCUUGUUCUUUUUUUCUUCUUCUCUGUGGAUCUCUUUCUCUUCUUGUACGAUCAGUACACACUGGAACAUGAGUCUUAGAGACUCGAGUUCCUCGUGGAAUUUUUAUCGACGUCACUCAGUCAGAAGUUUGGACCUUGAGUUUUUAAAACUCGAUUGGCUAUUGAACUCGAGUUUUAAAAACUCGAGAUGCUAGUUUUCCACUUUCUUUCGCAACUUGUCAACUAACAAAAUUCUUCUAAUAAUAAAGUUAAAUGGAAAAAAAAUUAUGGUCUCUUUCGUAAUUGCCUUUCUACAAGGUAAACGUUGAUGGGGCUGUCUUUGGGAAGCAAAAAAAAACUGGUGUUGGGGUUGUUAUUAGAGACCUUGAAGGGAAUUUUAUUGCAAGUUUAAGUAAGGAAUAUAAAGCUCCUUUAGGUGCUAUAGAAGUGGAAGCAGGGGCUUUCGAAACAGGUAUUAGAGCAUUCUCAUUAGGUGUGCCAAAUGCCAAAUAUUUGGCAUUUGGCACACCAAACACUAUUAUUCAAGUUUCAUAAGAUGUUCUAAAUGUUCUAAAAUUUUGCAACAUGCUAUAGUACCGUCUCAAAUAUGAGACGGUAUGGACACAAAUGCCAAACCAAAAUACUAAUUUAUUAUUGAACCUUUUCUCUCUCCUCUCAAUAUUUAAUUCAACGUUUUCUCUCUCUUCUCAU